GACGAACCACCCAAACGUUAUUCGGAAUUACUGGGCUUAAAGGGUGCGUAGGCUGUGCGGAAAGUUGGGUGUGAAUACCUCAGCUUAACUGAGGAACUGCGCUCAAAACUACCGUGCUCGAGGGAGACAGAGGUGAGCGGAACUUAGGGUGGAGCGGUGAAAUGCGUUGAUAUCCUAAGGAACACCGGUGGCGAAAGCGGCUCACUGGAUCUCUUCUGACGCUGAGGCACGAAAGCUAGGGUAGCGAACGGG
rnacentral:rRNA from 1 species